rnacentral:rRNA from 1 species
AUUGAACGCUGGCGGCAGGCUUAACACAUGCAAGUCGAGCGGGGUGAUGGUGCUUGCACUAUCACUUAGCGGCGGACGGGUGAGUAAUGCUUAGGAAUCUGCCUAUUAGUGGGGGACAACAUCUCGGAAGGGAUGCUAAUACCGCAUACGUCCUACGGGAGAAAGCAGGGGAUCACUUGUGACCUUGCGCUAAUAGAUGAGCCUAAGUCGGAUUAGCUAGUUGGUGGGGUAAAGGCCUACCAAGGCGACGAUCUGUAGCGGGUCUGAGAGGAUGAUCCGCCAGGCCGGGACUGAGACACGGCCCAGACUCCUACGGGAGGCAGCAGUGGGGAAUAUUGGACAAUGGGGGGAACCCUGAUCCAGCCAUGCCGCGUGUGUGAAGAAGGCCUUAUGGUUGUAAAGCACUUUAAGCGAGGAGGAGGCUCUUUUGGUUAAUACCCAAGAUGAGUGGACGUUACUCGCAGAAUAAGCACCGGCUAACUCUGUGCCAGCCGCCGCCGUAA